UCCGAUUCCUACGGGAGGCAGCAGUAGGGAAUCUUCCGCAAUGGGCGAAAGCCUGACGGAGCAACGCCGCGUGAGUGAUGAAGGUCUUCGGAUCGUAAAACUCUGUUAUUAGGGAAGAACAAAUGCGUAAGUAACUGUGCGCGUCUUGACGGUACCUAAUCAGAAAGCCACGGCUAACUACGUGCCAGCAGCCGCGGUAAUACGUAGGUGGCAAGCGUUAUCCGGAAUUAUUGGGCGUAAAGCGCGCGUAGGCGGUUUUUUAAGUCUGAUGUGAAAGCCCACGGCUCAUCCGUGGAGGGUCAUUGGAAACUGAAAAACUUGAGUGCAGAAGAGGAAAGUGGAAUUCCAUGUGUAGCGGUGAAAUGCGCAGAGAUAUGGAGGAACACCAGUGGCGAAGGCGACUUUCUGGUCUGUAACUGACGCUGAUGUGCGAAAGCGUGGGGAUCAAACAGGAUUAGAUACCCUGGUAGUCCACGCCGUAAACGAUGAGUGCUAGGUGUUAGGGGGUUUCCGCCCCUUAGUGCUGCAGCUAACGCAUUAAGCACUCCGCCUGGGGAGUACGGCCGCAAGGCUUAAACUCAAAGGAAUUGACGGGGACCCGCACAAGCGGUGGAGCAUGUGGUUUAAUUCGAAGCAACGCGAAGAACCUUACCAAAUCUUGACAUCCUUUGACCGCUCUAGAGAUAGAGUCUUCCCCUUCGGGGGACAAAGUGACAGGUGGUGCAUGGUUGUCGUCAGCUCGUGUCGUGAGAUGUUGGGUUAAGUCCCGCAACGAGCGCAACCCUUAAGCUUAGUUGCCAUCAUUCAGUUGGGCACUCUAAGUUGACUGCCGGUGACAAACCGGAGGAAGGUGGGGAUGACGUCAAAUCAUCAUGCCCCUUAUGAUUUGGGCUACACACGUGCUACAGUGGACAAUACAGAGGGCAGCGAAACCGCGAGGUCAAGCAAAUCCCAUAAAGUUGUUCUCAGUUCGGAUUGUAGUCUGCAACUCGACUACAUGAAGCUGGAAUCGCUAGUAAUCGUAGAUCAGCAUGCUACGGUGAAUACGUUCCCGGGCCUUGUACACACCGC
rnacentral:rRNA from 1 species